UAUAAGUACUCUAUGAUCACACUUUCAUUACUUUGUGUGACCAGUCUUCAGUUACCCGCAAAAUUCACCAAAAAAAUUUCAAUUCCCUGCUAAUCUCCAUCAAGCUCCAUCCUUUUCACUGAGCUUACUCAUCCCUCCGCUCCAGUGCCUACGUUUGCAACCAAUAACUAUCCCCUACAUAAUAGUCCUAAUUUUGAAAUCAAAAACCCUAGGUUUACAGAGGAAGACGAUGUGAAAGUUUUGUAUUUCUUUGAGACUGAUUCAGGAUAAUUUCAGUUGCUAAGAAUCUGAAUACGGAUACGAUGGAUUAUGUAGAUCUUACAACGAUAAAUCCUAUAGAGAGAACGAUAUUGCAUUACCAGCUGCUCUUUUGAGGUACACAGUUAUUGUAUAGGAUUCGCAAUCGUUUCUAGAUGACGGCUGGUGCUGAAAUUGUUUGCAGUGAGGUGGUUCGUAAGGUGGAGACUAUGGACAAGUGUGGUUCUGGUGUGAAUGCAGUGGUGGUGUUGCUACUGUUGAUUAUAAUGUCGGUGGUAAUGGUAAUUGUAAUGGCAACGGCGAUUCCGACUAUGUGUAUGUGAACAGGAGUGUCGUGGUGAGUUUGUGAUGCAGGUGGUGUUAAUGUUGAUGGUGAAGUUGAGCAGUUUAAGAAUGAAGGGGCGACUGUUGAUCCGUUGGUGUUGGAGACUAAUGGUGUUGUUCACAGGGCUAUGAGUAUAACAAUAAGUGUUACAGAGGUAAGUGCGGUUAAAGACGAUGUAAAUGUUGAGAAUGGAUUCGUUGUUGAUCCUCAUGUGGUCCUGGUGAGUAAUGGUAUUGGUAAGAAACAAGUUGGUUAAGUAUUUUUUUUAAAUCUUUUAUCCAUGGUACCUUCUUUGAUUAUUUCUUGGUAACUAUGAAUUUCUUCUGGGAUCCUUACACAAUCCAUUGCAGAUCCGACUAUAAUCUUUGAAUACUGUAUUCUUUUGUGAUGUUUUGAUCUUCUGAUUUUGUCUUCUUUGUUUAGAAUUUAAUUUUCUGAUAACGUAGUUGUAUAAUACCCCAAUUUUUGCUGCAACUUAGAGUGCUAGCUGGAGCAUCGUUGGACUAAAGGUAAGUCUUGGUUACCCCAGUUCUUUUAGCAAACUGAAGAUUUUCGUAUUAAUUUUCUUACAGUAAUAUUUUAUUCGGACGUGAAUGGUACAAUUACUUUGAAGUUUGAAAAUUAGGGCUCGAUUUGGACCACAGUUGAUAUGAUUUUAUUUGUUUAAGUCUGCUGCAAAUUUUGUAAUCUAUAUAUAUACACAUAUCAUGUUGUUCAUUGAUGAUGUUUCUUGAUCAGUUGACUUGACUGGCACUUAGAACUAUAUGUUUGUGAUUGCCGAUUAACUGAAAGUGACUAGUUAUAGAAAUCUUAAACUGCAUGUAUAGCUAUGUUGUCAAAGACGCAAGGCGCAGGCAUCGGCCUCGCCCGGAGCCUAGGUGCAAGGCGCAAAAAAAGCGUGGGCUUUUUUAAGAAAAGCGCACAUAGAGAAAAAAAAAUAUAAAAAAUAUGUUAUGCUUUGAUAAUAAAUAAGAUUCCACAUAUAAAUUAGAAAAAAGUAUUAUAUAUGCCAUUUAAGAUCAUGUAGCAAAUAGUUUUGUACGCGUGAGGCAGUUUUGCACGCACUCGGUUUCGUUUUUAAUGGUCAUUUGUGUUGUUUUACCUUUUUCCAUGCGCCUCAACAACGUUUUUUGCGCCUAGGCGCGCACUUUUUGCGCCUCAGCACCGUUUUUUCAAAAAAAUCCCAUUUUUGCGCCUAGGCUACCACCAGGCGCUAUAGGUGCGCCUCGCUGCGCCCGGGCGCCUAGGCGCACGCUUUUUGCGCUUUUGACAACAUAGAUGUAUAAGUUGCGGUUCGGUUGAGGUUUGGAACUGAAUUGCCAUGUGUACACCACUAGUCUGUAUGAUUGUUCAACUGCCAUGUUUAAGUCCCUUUUUUGAACAUAUCAAAAUUUAUAACUCUGUUUGGCGUGUUAUACAAACAUUGGUUGUGGCUGCAUCUAUUUAUUUUGUUUGGCAGGAACGGAAUAACAGAAUUUUUAAAGGUAAACAAAAGUAUGCUCAGGUCCUUUGCCAACAAAUUCAGGAUAUUGUUCGGUAUAGAUUGUUGGGUCUCUCUUUUAAAUGGUCGCGCCAUGUUACUUUCGUUACUCAUGUUUGGAAUUUCAAGGUGGAAGCCUUUAUUACAAAAGCCUUAGUGGCAUAGUAGGUCAAGAUGGUCGAGGCAUAAAGUCUAAACUAUCUUGGAGACAAAAAGGAAGCUAUAAGGUGGAAAUAAGGUUUUUAAUGAAGAGAUUAAGAGGAUAUGAAGUAUGCAGAAGGAUAUAUGGUUAUAUAGUGUGGUUGUGGCUGAAGGAAGAUAGAAGGUUUACAAGAGAACUCAAGUUAUGACUAUGGGGUAUGGGGCGUGGGUUGGGUACAAAUCUCCAAGUCACCACCCCAGGUGGGCUUGGGUUUUAGCGUGGCCCCUUGGGCGGGGGUUUCAGCCCGGGCGUUGGGCGGGCCUAGCGGUCUUCCGUGGCCGGCUCUCAUUGGCUGGGUUGGCUAGGCUAUAGGUGUAGGAUUUAAAUUUUAAAAAACAACCGUUUGGCUUACCCCAACUACUAUAAAACCCCCCAUCGCCCUGUUCGAAAUCUACCUAACGCUUUAAUUAGGGGUUUUUUUAUAUGUCUAAUUAUGUUUUUUUUAGAUUUGUAAUCCUUUUUUUUUGUAGGAUUUUGUAAUUUUUAGAAAAUUUUAAUAAUAAUUUUAGGCUUUUUUUUAAUUUUGUGUGUAUUUUUAUAAUAAUUUUAGGCUUUUUUUCAAUUUUUUUAUAAUAAUUGACACGUGGCCAACCCAAGCGAGCUAGCCACGCCCGCCAUACCGACCCAACCCACACGUGACCAGCGGUGCCCCUCGAAGUCCACGUGUCAACUCUUGCCUCAAACCCCCACCCCACCAUACCCCACAGUCUAAGAUGUGUAUGUACACCUAAAGCUCAUCGAGAUGCAGUUAAAGCAAGCAGCAACAGUUUAGCAUUCCUAAGUGUCUAAUAUGUGUUCCCAGUUUAGCAUUCUUUUUCUUUAUCAAUCUUUAGUAAGUUGUUUAAAGAUAUAAAUGAUUACUAACUAGUAUACAAUUGA